rnacentral:rRNA from 1 species
UGAAUUGACGGGGACCGCACAAGCGGUGGAUGAUGUGGUUUAAUUCGAUGCAACGCGAAAACCUUACCACCUUUGACAUGUACGGAACCCUGAAGAGAUUUGGGAGUGCUCGCAAGAGAACCGGAACACAGGUGCUACAUUGGCUGUCGUCAGCUCGUGUCGUGAGAUGUUGGGUUAAGUCCCGCAACGAGCGCAACCCUUGUCAUUAGUUGCUACGAAAGGGCACUCUAAUGAGACUGCCGGUGACAAACCGGAGGAAGGUGGGGAUGACGUCAAGUCCUCAUGGCCCUUAUGGGUAGGGCUUCACACGUCAUACAAUGGUCGGGACGGAGGGUUGCCAACCCGCGAGGGGGAGCUAAUCCCAUAAACCCGAUCGUAGUCCGGAUUGCAGUCUGCAACUCGACUGCAUGAAGUCGGAAUCGCUAGUAAUCGCGGAUCAGCAUGUCGCGGUGAAUACGUUCCCGGGUCUU